rnacentral:rRNA from 1 species
AGAGUUUGAUUAUGGCUCAGAUUGAACGCUGGCGGAAUGCUUUACACAUGCAAGUCGAACGGCAGCACGGGAGCUUGCUCCUGGUGGCGAGUGGCGAACGGGUGAGUAAUGCGUCGGAACGUACCGAGUAAUGGGGGAUAACGCGGCGAAAGUCGCGCUAAUACCGCAUACGCCCUGAGGGGGAAAGUGGGGGAUCGCAAGACCUCACGUUAUUCGAGCGGCCGACGUCUGAUUAGCUAGUUGGUGGGGUAAUGGCCUACCAAGGCGACGAUCAGUAGCGGGUCUGAGAGGAUGAUCCGUCACACUGGGACUGAGACACGGCCCAGACUCCUACGGGAGGCAGCAGUGGGGAAUUUUGGACAAUGGGGGCAACCCUGAUCCAGCCAUUCCGCGUGAGUGAAGAAGGCCUUCGGGUUGUAAAGCUCUUUCAGCUGGAACGAAACGGUACGCUCUAACAUAGCGUGCUAAUGACGGUACCGGCAGAAGAAGCACCGGCUAACUACGUGCCAGCAGCCGCGGUAAUACGUAGGGUGCGAGCGUUAAUCGGAAUUACUGGGCGUAAAGCGUGCGCAGGCGGAUUGUUAAGCAAGACGUGAAAGCCCCGGGCUUAACCUGGGAAUGGCGUUUUGAACUGGCG